rnacentral:rRNA from 1 species
AAACUCAAAUGAAUUGACGGGACCCGCACAAGCGGUGGAUGAUGUGGUUUAAUUCGAUGCAACGCGAAAACCUUACCCACCUUUGACAUGUACGGAACCCUUUAGAGAUAGAGGGGUGCUCGAAAGAGAGCCGUAACACAGGUGCUGCAUGGCUGUCGUCAGCUCGUGUCGUGAGAUGUUGGGUUAAGUCCCGCAACGAGCGCAACCCUUGUCAUUAGUUGCUACAUUCAGUUGGGCACUCUAAUGAGACUGCCGGUGACAAGCCGGAGGAAGGUGGGGAUGACGUCAAGUCCUCAUGGCCCUUAUAGGUGGGGCUACACACGUCAUACAAUGGCUGGUACAAAGGGUUGCCAACCCGCGAGGGGAAGCCAAUCCCAUAAAGCCAGUCGUAGUCCGGAUCGUAGUCUGCAACUCGACUACGUGAAGUCGGAAUCGCUAGUAAUCGUGGAUCAGAAUGUCACGGUGAAUACGUUCCCGGGUCUU